rnacentral:misc_RNA from 1 species
UCCGGCUUAUCACCGGCAGUCCCUUUAGAGUGCCCAACUAAAUGAUGGCAACUAAAGGCGAGGGUUGCGCUCGUUGCGGGACUUAACCCAACAUCUCACGACACGAGCUGACGACAACCAUGCACCACCUGUCUCCUCUGUCCCGAAGGAAAGCCCUAUCUCUAGAGCGGUCAGAGGGAUGUCAAGACCUGGUAAGGUUCUUCACGUUGCUUCGAAUUAAACCACAUGCUCCACCGCUUGUGCGGGCCCCCGUCAAUUCCUUUGAGUUUCAGCCUUGCGGCCGUACUCCCCAGGCGGAGCACUUAUCGCGUUAGCUGCGGCACCGAAGGGGUCGUUCCCCCCAGCACCUAGUGCCCAUCGUUUACGGCGUGGACUAC